rnacentral:rRNA from 1 species
AGAUUGAACGCUAGCGGGAUGCUUUACACAUGCAAGUCGAACGGCAGCGCGGACUUCGGUCUGGCGGCGAGUGGCGAACGGGUGAGUAAUAUAUCGGAACGUGCCCAGUAGCGGGGGAUAACUACGCGAAAGCGUGGCUAAUACCGCAUACGCCCUACGGGGGAAAGGGGGGAUCGCAAGACCUCUCACUAUUGGAGCGGCCGAUAUCGGAUUAGCUAGUUGGUGGGGUAAAGGCUCACCAAGGCUUCGAUCCGUAGCUGGUUUGAGAGGACGACCAGCCACACUGGGACUGAGACACGGUCCAGACUCCUACGGGAGGCAGCAGUGGGGAAUAUUGGACAAGUGGGACGAAAGCCUAGGAUCCCAGCCAUGCCGCGUGUGUGAAGAGGUCUUCGGAUUGUAAAGCACGUUUAAGUGGAGGAAGGGCAAGUAAAUUAAUACUUUGCUUAGUUUGACGUUACGACAGAAUAAGCACCGCUAACUCUAGUGU